UACAGAGGGUGCGAGCGUUGUCCGGAAUUACUGGGCGUAAAGGGCGCGUAGGCGGCUCCGUGCGCGUGCCGUGAAAGCCUGGAGCUCAACCCCGGGUCGGCGGUGCGGACUGCGGGGCUGGAGCACAGCAGAGGCGGGCGGAAUUCCGGGUGUAGCGGUGGAAUGCGUAGAGAUCCGGAAGAACACCGGUGGCGAAGGCGGCCUGCUGGGGUGUGGCUGACGCUGAGGCGCGACAGCGUGGGGAGCAAACAGG
rnacentral:rRNA from 1 species